rnacentral:rRNA from 1 species
UACGUAGGGUGCAAGCGUUGUCCGGAAUUAUUGGGCGUAAAGAGCGCGCAGGCGGUCGAAUAAGUCGAAUGUGAAAGCCCCCGGCUCAACUGGGGAGGGUCAUUCGAUACUGUUCGACUUGAAGGUAGGAGAGAGAAGCAGAAUUCCCGGUGUAGUGGUGAAAUGCGUAGAUAUCGGGAGGAACACCAGUGGCGAAGGCGGUUGCCUGGAGCUUUGCUGACGCUGAGGCGCGAAAGCGUGGGGAGCGAUCCGG